UGCAAGUCGAGCGAACAGACGAGGAGCUUGCUCCUUUGACGUUAGCGGCGGACGGGUGAGUAACACGUGGGUAACCUACCUAUAAGACUGGGAUAACUUCGGGAAACCGGAGCUAAUACCGGAUAAUAUUUCGAACCGCAUGGUUCGAUAGUGAAAGAUGGCUUUGCUAUCACUUAUAGAUGGACCUGCGCCGUAUUAGCUAGUUGGUAAGGUAACGGCUUACCAAGGCAACGAUACGUAGCCGACCUGAGAGGGUGAUCGGCCACACUGGAACUGAGACACGGUCCAGACUCCUACGGGAGGCAGCAGUAGGGAAUCUUCCGCAAUGGGCGAAAGCCUGACGGAGCAACGCCGCGUGAGUGAUGAAGGUCUUCGGAUCGUAAAACUCUGUUAUUAGGGAAGAACAAACGUGUAAGUAACUGUGCACGUCUUGACGGUACCUAAUCAGAAAGCCACGGCUAACUACGUGCCAGCAGCCGCGGUAAUACGUAGGUGGCAAGCGUUAUCCGGAAUUAUUGGGCGUAAAGCGCGCGUAGGCGGUUUUUUAAGUCUGAUGUGAAAGCCCACGGCUCAACCGUGGAGGGUCAUUGGAAACUGGAAAACUUGAGUGCAGAAGAGGAAAGUGGAAUUCCAUGUGUAGCGGUGAAAUGCGCAGAGAUAUGGAGGAACACCAGUGGCGAAGGCGACUUUCUGGUCUGUAACUGACGCUGAUGUGCGAAAGCGUGGGGAUCAAACAGGAUUAGAUACCCUGGUAGUCCACGCCGUAAACGAUGAGUGCUAAGUGUUAGGGGGUUUCCGCCCCUUAGUGCUGCAGCUAACGCAUUAAGCACUCCGCCUGGGGAGUACGACCGCAAGGUUGAAACUCAAAGGAAUUGACGGGGACCCGCACAAGCGGUGGAGCAUGUGGUUUAA
rnacentral:rRNA from 1 species